rfam:Ovis aries breed Texel chromosome 13, whole genome shotgun sequence.
UUCCUGGUGGCCUAAUGGUUAGGAUUCUGGGCUUUCACUGCAGUGGUCCAGGUUCAAUUCCUGGCUGGGGCA